rnacentral:rRNA from 1 species
GACGAACGCUGGCGGCGUGCUUAACACAUGCAAGUCGAACGAACAGGCCCUGAGCUUGCUCGGCUUACGUGAGCGGCGGACGGGUGAGUAACACGUGGAUAACCUACCUAUAUGUCUGGGAUAACUUCGGGAAACGGGAGCUAAUACCGGAUAAUCUAUUGAACCACAGUGGGGGAUGGUGAAAGGCGGUGUUGGGGUCAGGUAUAGAGGCAUGCCCGCUGCAUUAGCUGGUUGGUAAGGUGACGGCUUACGAAGGGAACGAUGCCUGGCCGACCGGAGAGGGUGGUCGGCGACCCUGGAGAUGGGCCGGGGUCCAGACUCCUGCGGGAGGCAGCAGUAGGCAAUGGGCCGCAAUGGGCGAAAGCCUGACGCAGCAAGCCGGCGCGAGUGAUGACGGUCUUCGGAGCGUGAAACUCUGUUAUUAGUGAAGAACAAAUGUGUAAGUAACUAUGGACGUCUUGACGGUACCGGGUAAGGAAGCCCCGGCUAACUACGUG